GAUGAACGCUGACGGCGUGCCUAAUACAUGCAAGUCGAGCGAACGGACGAGAAGCUUGCUUCUCUGAUGUUAGCGGCGGACGGGUGAGUAACACGUGGAUAACCUACCUAUAAGACUGGGAUAACUUCGGGAAACCGGAGCUAAUACCGGAUAAUAUUUUGAACCGCAUGGUUCAAAAGUGAAAGACGGUCUUGCUGUCACUUAUAGAUGGAUCCGCGCUGCAUUAGCUAGUUGGUAAGGUAACGGCUUACCAAGGCAACGAUGCAUAGCCGACCUGAGAGGGUGAUCGGCCACACUGGAACUGAGACACGGUCCAGACUCCUACGGGAGGCAGCAGUAGGGAAUCUUCCGCAAUGGGCGAAAGCCUGACGGAGCAACGCCGCGUGAGUGAUGAAGGUCUUCGGAUCGUAAAACUCUGUUAUUAGGGAAGAACAUAUGUGUAAGUAACUGUGCACAUCUUGACGGUACCUAAUCAGAGAGCCACGGCUAACUACGUG
rnacentral:rRNA from 1 species